rnacentral:rRNA from 1 species
CCUACGGGAGGCAGCAGUGGGGAAUAUUGCGCAAUGGGCGAAAGCCUGACGCCGCGACGCCGCGUGAGGGAUGACGGUCUUCGGAUCGUUAACCUCUGUCAGCAGGGAAGAACGGUCACUGUGCUAAUCAGCAGUGAAUUGACGGUACCUGCAAAGGAAGCACCGGCUAAAUCCGUGCCAGCAGCCGCGGUAAUACGGUGGGUGCGAGCGUUAAUCGGAAUUACUGGGCGUAAAGCGCUCGUAGGCGGUCUGUCAAGUCAAGGGUGAAAUCCCCGCGCUCAACGUGGGAACUGCCUUUGAAACUGGCAAACUGGAGUGUGUGAGAGGAUAGUGGAAUUCCAGGUGUAGGAGUGAAAUCCGUAGAUAUCUGGAGGAACAUCAGUGGCGAAGGCGACUAUCUGGCACAUAACUGACGCUGAGGAGCGAAAGCGUGGGUAGCAAACAGGAUUAGAUACCCGAGUAGUC